rnacentral:misc_RNA from 1 species
GAAAUGCGAUACGUAGUGUGAAUUGCAGAAUUCCGUGAACCAUCGAAUCUUUGAACGCACAUUGCGCUCGAGGCCUCGGCCGAGAGCAUGUCUGCCUCAGCGUCGGCCCAUCCCCUCACAACCCCCUUCUUGGGGGCUGUGGAUCUGGCCGUGUCGGCUGCUGCCCUUCGCUUGACGGGGGGCCUGCGGCCGAGUCGGCUGAAGCUCAGAGGCCUGAGCAAGAGCCCAUUCAACCGGGCAUCAACAAGGUGGGUGGCCCUCCGGGCUGCAUUGCCGUUGAUGACCGGGGGACUUGCUGGGGGCCUGCAGGAACACCGGCCCUUUCCGGGUGCCGGUGCCGACCAACUUUUCGACCUGAGAUCAGGCAAGAACACCCGCUGAACUUAA